ACCUCAGAAGUUUCUCUUCCACCCUCAGAACCUGAGUGCUUCUUGAUAGCAGAAGCAAAUGAACUAUUAGAACAGAUGUCCCUGUCGCACCCGACCAAGGAUGCUUUCCUGCGUGACGGUGACAACUGUCCGGCUGGUGAUGGAACCCCGGAGUACAAAGACCACCUUUAUCAGAAGACGACAUGGCCCCCUCCUCCGAACCAGGGCAGUGGCAACAAUACACAAUUCCCAAACGCCUGCAGGGAUCUUUCUGAGAAGCCAGCGUAAGUCCCAAGCGGCAGCACCCUCCUUUUCUGGACCUUGAACAUUCGAAAUCUGGACCGUUCUGCUUUGGAGAAGGGAGAGUAUGAGAACUCCGCACACCGACACACAUAUUUAUCUUUGGACUGAUUUUUUUUUUCUCCACCCGUUCAAGCAACAAGCCACCUCUGCGUUGCUCCAUGCAAAGCUGUUCUCCCUCAUAUUUCACCUUUAGAUGGAAAUAAAUAAAUAAAUAAACAUUUGAGGCAAG